rnacentral:rRNA from 1 species
UCCUUAGGGCAUACCUGGGGGAGGGUCG